UCAGCACAUGAAAAGUAUGUUAAAAAUGGAAACAUUUUCCCUUCCAUUUGGAAGAGUAAAAGCUCGUGCUUGGCUGGAAAAUGACAUCUAAUGGAGAAGGAUGCUAAUUGGUGCUGAAUGGAUUGCUGAGAGACAACUGAACUACCCAGAGUGAGUAGAGACAAUCUGAUCUGCCCAGAAAACUCUCAGACCAGACCAGCUCCCUGGAAGAGGCAGAGCCUGGAAGAGUUCAGACCAUCUGAACCAUCUGGAAGGAACACUCUCCAACCUGUUGAGCAGCCUUUGGGUUUUCCAGCUUUCAUGAGCUGCCAUCAAUGCUGGAGAUGGCUUUGGAGAUGCAGCUGUCGUCAAUGAUUCUGCUCCAGUAAGCAACUCUUCCUCUACAGUGCUAUAUGUAACUCCA
rnacentral:lncRNA from 1 species